GCUAGGUAUGGUGGUGCAUGCCUAUAAUCCCAGUUACUUGGGAGGCUGAGGCAGGAGGAUUCAAAGUUUGAGGCCAGCCUAAG
rnacentral:sRNA from 1 species